rnacentral:tRNA from 1 species
CCUUUUAUUGGUUUAAAAGGAAAGCCUCGUUGGUUUUAAACCAACGGGGUCUUGGUUUGAAACCAACUAAACAGUC